rnacentral:rRNA from 1 species
UACGAAGGGGGCUAGCGUUGCUCGGAAUUACUGGGCGUAAAGGGCGCGUAGGCGGAUAGUUUAGUCAGAGGUGAAAGCCCAGGGCUCAACCUUGGAAUUGCCUUUGAUACUGGCUAUCUUGAGUUCGGGAGAGGUGAGUGGAAUGCCGAGUGUAGAGGUGAAAUUCGUAGAUAUUCGGAAGAACACCAGUGGCGAAGGCGACUUACUGGACACAUAUUGACGCUGAGGUGCGAAAGCGUGGGGAGCAAACAGG